UACAUAUGAUGACUAAAUUGUCUAGUUCUGCUACUGAGACCUAUGAGGAAAACAUAAAUACCAAAACCCACUGAAAU
rfam:Stomoxys calcitrans breed 8C7A2A5H3J4 unplaced genomic scaffold Scaffold25, whole genome shotgun sequence.